rnacentral:rRNA from 1 species
GUGGGGAAUCUUAGACAAUGGGCGCAAGCCUGAUCUAGCCAUGCCGCGUGAGCGAUGAAGGCCUUAGGGUUGUAAAGCUCUUUCGCUGGGGAAGAUAAUGACUGUACCCAGUAAAGAAGCCCCGGCUAACUCCGUGCCAGCAGCCGCGGUAAUACGGAGGGGGCUAGCGUUGUUCGGAAUUACUGGGCGUAAAGCGCGCGUAGGCGGAUUGGAAAGUUGGGGGUGAAAUCCCGGGGCUCAACCUCGGAACUGCCUUCAAAACUCCCAGUCUUGAGUUCGAGAGAGGUGAGUGGAAGUCCGAGUGUAGAGGUGAAAUUCGUAGAUAUUCGGAGGAACACCAGUGGCGAAGGCGGCUCACUGGCUCGAUACUGACGCUGAGGUGCGAAAGCGUGGGGAGCAAACAGGAUUAGAAACCCGGGUAGUCC